CAGAACUGCGGAUGCGGGCGGAGCGCGCGCUCCUGGUCUCACCAGGCCCCCAGAGCUGCUGGCACUGCUGCUCCAGCGUGGGACACGCGCCGUCCCGACAGUAGCCGCGGCCUCUGGCGCAGGGCGAGCCGUCCAGUAGCCGUUCCCGCAGCGCGCCUGCGGCACCAGGAGCCCGGAGUCCGGCGCGUUGGAGAGGCAAGCGCCCCCUCCCUUUCGGAAGAAGGCGCGUAGCUGGCGGCGGCUGCAGGCGCUAAACACGCGAGGGAACGGGUGCCUACGGACGGGGGAGGGCGUCGGGCGUGCGGGGACCACCCCCGCCAACCCCUGCGUGUCUCCAGUCCCUCCCCCACAGCACACUGGCGCUUGGCUACGCAGCCGGUAGAUGCGCAGACACCGCCUGCGCGACGGACAGCUCGAAUUCUCUAGAGGCAGAACUCAGAGAGGGCCCCCGGAUCCUACAUAUCUCCCCAGCUGUCUUUCACUGAGGCUCAUCCCCUACUUCCAGAGGAUACAGAAAUCACACCUGCAGAUCCCACCCAUGUGAGCAGGGAUCCUCCUCCUCUCCUUCUCCAGACCCCACUCAAGUAAUGAUUUCAUCUUCAGGCUUCAUCUCACCAGCAUCCUUCCCACCAAGAUGGAUCAACCUCAGUAACAGAUAUGCAGAUGACACCACCCUUAUGGCAGAAAGUGAAGAAGAACUAAA